rnacentral:tRNA from 1 species
UGUGGCUUAGUGGUAGAGUGCUUGCCUAGAAUGCAUGAAGUUCUAGGUUCAAUACCUAGUA